CCACGAGCCGCGCCUGUCUGCGCCGCGAGCCGAGCCGGUCUUCAACCUCCAAGCCGAGCCGAUCCCUGUCCUUUUUCCAGCCGAGCCGCCAAGCCUAAUUUGGCUCCUUCCACCUAAUUUUUGGGACGUCUUGGACCAAGUAACUGCUGCAGUGUGGGAUUUCUUCAGUAGGGGCUCGAGCAUUGCAACCUCUUUCUAGGUUAGGACCUCGUUGCUUGGAAAGCACACUUGCCUCGCGGUUAGAACUCGCCAAGUAAAUCUCCAGGUAGAGGACGAGGCAAGGGCAAAGGCAAGCUGGCGAGCGACCCGAAGUGACCGUGGCGAGCCAUAGAGACUCCUGCUUCCGCUUAUUCUUGUUUUUUGACUUUAGUACCUGAGUUUGAGUAUUCUUCAUUACUUACCAUCUUUUUAUGUAGAUAGGGCCCGAGUAGGACUUUAGAACGCAUUUC